rnacentral:rRNA from 1 species
UACGGAGGGGGCUAGCGUUGUUCGGAAUUACUGGGCGUAAAGCGCACGUAGGCGGAUCAGCCAGUCAGGGGUGAAAUCCCGGGGCUCAACCCCGGAACUGCCCUUGAUACUGCUGGUCUGGAGUUCGAGAGAGGCGAGUGGAAUUCCGAGUGUAGAGGUGAAAUUCGCAGAUAUUCGGAGGAACACCAGUGGCGAAGGCGGCUCGCUGGCUCGACACUGACGCUGAGGUGCGAAAGCGUGGGGAGCAAACAGGAUUAGAUACCCGGGUA